rnacentral:rRNA from 1 species
UACAGAGGUCUCGAGCGUUAGGCGGAAUCACUGGGCUUAAAGCGUGUGUAGGUGGAUCGUUAAGUACCUUGUGAAAUCCCACGGCUUAACCGUGGAACUGCUUGGUAUACUGGCGGUCUUGAGCCAGCUAGGGGCUACCGGAACAAAUGGUGGAGCGGUGAAAUGCGUAGAUAUCGUAAGGAAGACCAGUGGCGAAGGCGGAUCUCUGGACAGUUCCUGACGCUGAGGCACGAAGGCCAGGGGAGCAAACGGG